GACAGAGGUCUCAAGCGUUAGGCGGAAUCACUGGGCUUAAAGCGUGUGUAGGUGGAUUUCUAAGUGCCUUGUGAAAUCCCACGGCUUAACCGUGGAACUGCUGGGCAUACUGGGAGUCUUGAGCCAUCUAGGGGCGACUGGAACAAACGGUGGAGCGGUGAAGUGCGUAGAUAUCGUUUGGAACGCCAAAGGCGAAAGCAGGUCGCUGGGGAUGAGCUGACACUGAGACACGAAAGCCAGGGGAGCAAACGGG
rnacentral:rRNA from 1 species